rnacentral:lncRNA from 1 species
AGCUUUCUCAACGUUCUCCUUCUUUCCAGCCCAUGUUUUGAGUGUGCUUUUUUGCAAUGCUCGGCCGAAAGAGAAUGAUAGAGUCCAUGGUUUCAACACCUCAAGCUUAUUCAUUGCAUUGAGGUUCAGUGUUGCUUCCUCCUCGCUUUGCCCGCCAGACAAGAACACAAUGCCUGGUACAGCUGGUGGAACGGUUCUGCGUAGCGCGGUCACUGUGAAUUCAGCAAUCACCUCAGGUGUUACCUUUAAGAAUCAAACCCUUUGAAGAUUAAUCAACAAUCGAAGACAAGUAUGACAAGCUGAAUUAGGUUAAGCAGUGAUGUU